GAAUGAACGCUGGCGGCGUGCCUAACACAUGCAAGUCGAACGAGAAAGCCCGCAAGGGUGAGUACAGUGGCGCACGGGUGAGUAAUACAUAGGAAUCUGCCUCUGAGUGGAGAAUACCCUGGAGAAAUUCAGGUUAAUACUGCAUAAGCCCGGAAGGGGAAAGGUGGCCUCAAGCUACCGCUGAGAGAUGAGCCUAUGGCCUAUUAGCUAGUUGGUAGGGUAAAAGCCUACCAAGGCUGAGAUGGGUAACCGGCCUGAGAGGGUGUACGGUCACACUGGAACUGAGACACGGUCCAGACUCCUACGGGAGGCAGCAGUGGGGAAUAUUGCACAAUGGGCGCAAGCCUGAUGCAGCGACGCCGCGUGGAGGAUGACGGUCUUCGGAUUGUAAACUCCUGUUAAGUGGGAAGAAAGACGCAUGCCUAAUACGUAUGCGGGAUGACGGUACCACUAGAGAAAGCACCGGCAAACUUCGUGCCAGCAGCCGCGGUAAUACGAAGGGUGCGAGCGUUAUUCGGAAUAACUGGGCGUAAAGGGUGCGUAGGCGGUAUUUUAAGUCAACUGUAAAAGAACUCAGCUUAACUGAGUAAGUGCAGAUGAUACUGGAAAGCUAGAGUACGAGAGAGAGAGGCGGAAUUCUCGGAGUAGCGGUAAAAUGCGUAGAUCUCGAGAGGAACACCGGUGGCGAAGGCGGCCUCUUGGUUUGUCUCUGACGCUGAGACGCGAAAGCGUGGGUAGCAAACAGGAUUAGAUACCCUGGUAGUCCACGCCGUAAACGAUGAUCACUAGGUGUUGGGCCGGCUUAGCUGGCUCAGUGUCGUAGCUAACGCGUUAAGUGAUCCGCCUGAGUAGUACGGUCGCAAGAUUAAAACUCAAAGAAAUUGACGGGGGUCCGCACAAGCGGUGGAACAUGUGGUUUAAUUCGACACUACGCGAGAAACCUUACCUAGGCUUGACAUGUAACUGCUACUGAUAGAAAUAUUGGGUUCUGUAGCAAUACAGACGGUUACACAGGUGCUGCAUGGCUGUCGUCAGCUCGUGUCGUGAGACGUCGGGUUAAGUCCUUGAACGAGCGCAACCCUUGCCGUUAGUUGCCUGUCGUAAGGCGGCACUCUAGCGGGACUGCCGUGGAAACACGGAGGAAGGUGGGGAUGACGUCAAGUCCUCAUGGCCCUUAUGCCUAGGGCUACACACGUGUUACAAUGGCGAGCAACAAAAGGAUGCAAGACCGCGAGGUGGAGCAAAUCCCUAAAACUCGUCUAAGUUCAGAUUGUAGUCUGCAACCCGACUACAUGAAGUUGAAAUCGCUAGUAAUCGCGUAUCAGAACGACGCGGUGAAUACGUUCUCGGACCU
rnacentral:rRNA from 1 species